AAUAACCGAAAAUAAUACUUGGGCUAAGGGUUAAGUUAGUAAUUUUUCUUACAUCUCCCCCCCCCCCCGGAGCCCAGGUAUCAUAUACGCCCCCAAAAUAAAGAGCCUUGAAUACUAGAAGAAAAGCACCUAUACCUAGCAAGAUUAAGUGAAUACCUAAAUUUGUUGUCAUUUUAUUUCUAUCUUUCCA
rnacentral:antisense_RNA from 1 species